rnacentral:rRNA from 1 species
AUGAUUCCGGCAUUAUGCCACAAGCUGCACAUGAGUUUGCUUCUCGUCAAGUUGGUGGACCGAUUAACCUUGGAUAUACUUGCCGUGACCAAAAAAUCAUUUGCGAACCAAGCGACAGAGGGAGUUGGCUUUGGACAAGCUGGAAGUAUGUUGAAAUAUUUUCAUGAAAAAAUUGCUGACAAUCCAUCAUUCCAAUAUGCACUACAGUUGGAUUGUGAGGAGGAUAUAACCAACAUAUUCUGGGCUGAUGCUAAAAUGAUCCUUGACUAUGCACAUUUUGGUGAUGUUGUCACUUUUGACACUACUUUUGGCACAAAUAAAGAGUAUAGGCCAUUUGGUGUUUUUCUUGGGAUCAAUCAGUUCAGAGAAACCACUAUUUUUGGUGCUGCCUUGCUGUUUGAUGAAACGAAGGACUCAUUUAUAUGGCUAUUUGAGACUUUUCUAGCUGCACAUAAUGGACGACAACCUAGAACUAUUUAUACGGAUCAAGAUGUAGCAAUGGGAAAAGCUAUAGAGAAAGUAUUCACGGAAUCAUAUCACGGGCUGUGCAGCUUUCACAUUAUGAUGAAUGCUGUCAAACAUUUAUCUCCAGUCAAGGAUGAUGAGAAAGAUGAAGGGGAGGUGGAAGAGGAAGAUGAAGGGGAGGAGGAAUCUCAUAUUCUCUCCGAUUUUAGUGCUUGUAUGUAUGGCUAUGAGGACAAGGCAGCAUUUCAAGAAGCAUUUGACAACAUGAGACAUAAAGUGCAUAAGCAAACUUGGUUAGAUAGCAUCUACAAGGUGAAAGAAAAAUGGGCUGAAUGUUAUAUGGGAGAUGUCUUCAGUUUGGGAGUGAGAAGUACACAACUAAGUGAGAGUUUCAACAAUGCAUUGAAGAACCAUUUGAAAUCUGAUUUCCAUAUUGUCCGAUUCUUGAAGCAUUUUGAGAGAACGGUUGAAGUAAAAAGGAGAAAGGAAUUGGAAUCUGAAUAUGAGGCAAGAAAAAAAUUGCCAAGAAUCAAGAUGUGCACACCCAUGUUGGUGCAAGCAAGCAAAGUGUACACUCCAACUAUUUUUGAACCUUUCCAAAGUGAAUAUGAAAGAUCCAUGGCUGCUUGCACUAGAGUGUUGGAGGAAAAUAACCAGUUUGCUGUUGCUAUUGGGAGGUUGCAUGGUGAUUUGACUUAUGAGGAGGAGGAGGAGCGCAUAGUGAUUGGUGAUCCGUUGAACCAAACCGCUUCAUGUAGUUGUCAAAUGUUCAAUAGGGCUGGAAUAUUGUGUGGGCAUAGUUUGAAAGUUCCUGAUUUGAUGAAUGUAAAGACAUUACCAACACAUUAUCUCCUAAAGAGAUGGACUAGAGAAGCACGCAUGGAAGUAUACAUGACAGGCAAGGAAGGAAAGUGGUAG